rnacentral:rRNA from 1 species
UACGUAGGGGGCUAGCGUUGUCCGGAUUUAUUGGGCGUAAAGAGCGUGUAGGCGGCCAGGUAGGUCUGCUGUGAAAACUCGAGGCUCAACCUCGAGCUGUCGGUUGAAACCACCUUGCUAGAGUCCGGAAGAGGAGAGUGGAAUUCCUGGUGUAGCGGUGAAAUGCGCAGAUAUCAGGAAGAACACCAAUGGCGAAGGCAGCUCUCUGGGACGGUACUGACGCUGAGACGCGAAAGCGUGGGGAGCGAACAGG